UUAACUCUGCGGCAGGCCUAAACAUGCAAGUCGAACGGUAACAUGAGAGCUUGCUCUUGAUGACGAGUGGCGCGCGGGUGCGUAACGCGUAUGCAACCUACCUGUAACAGAGGGAUAGCCCAGAGAAAUUUGGAUUAACACCUCAUAAUAUAAUUGAUUGGCAUCGAUUAAUUAUUAAAACUCCGGUGGUUACAGAUGGGCAUGCGUAAGAUUAGCUAGUUGGUAAGGUAACGGCUUACCAAGGCAACGAUCUUUAGGGGGCCUGAGAGGGUGGUCCCCCACACUGGUACUGAGACACGGACCAGACUCCUACGGGAGGCAGCAGUGAGGAAUAUUGGUCAAUGGACGCAAGUCUGAACCAGCCAUGCCGCGUGCAGGAAGACGGCCCUAUGGGUUGUAAACUGCUUUUAUAUAGGAAGAAACUUCUCUACGUGUAGAGAACUGACGGUACUAUACGAAUAAGGACCGGCUAACUCCGUGCCAGCAGCCGCGGUAAUACGGAGGGUCCAAGCGUUAUCCGGAUUUAUUGUGUUUAAAGGGUCCGUAGGCGGAUUUUUAAGUCAGUGGUGAAAGCCUACAGCUCAACUGUAGAACUGCCAUUGAUACUGGAGAUCUUGAGUGUAUUUGAAGUGGGCGGAAUGUGUCAUGUAGCGGUGAAAUGCAUAGAUAUGACACAGAACACCGAUUGCGAAGGCAGCUCACUAAACUACAACUGACGCUGAGGGACGAAAGCGUGGGGGAGCGAACAGGAUUAUAUACCCUGGUAGUCCACGCUGUGUGACGAUACAUCCCUCGCUGUUGGGCGGAAGCACAGUCAGCGGCCCAAGCGAAAGCAUUUAGUGAUGCCCUGGGAAGUACGGUCGCAGAUGAACUCAAGAAUGACCGAGGCGAUCUGCGAUUCAUCACACUGCGCGCUCGAGCAUGCAUCGAAGGCCCAAUUGCCUAUAUUGGCUUCG
rnacentral:rRNA from 1 species